UACAGAGGGGGCAAGCGUUGUCCGGAUUUACUGGGCGUACAGCGCGCGCAGGCGGAGCAGGACGUGCCGUGUGACAAACCACCGCUCACCGGUGGAGGGCCACGGUACACGACUGCUCUGGAGGCAGGGAGAGGGAUGUGGAAUGCCCGGUGGAGCGGUGAAAUGCGUAGAGAUCGGGCGGAACACCAGCGGCGAAGGCGGCAUCCUGGUCCUGUACUGACGCUGAGGCGCGAGAGCGUGGGGAGCAAACUGG
rnacentral:rRNA from 1 species